rnacentral:rRNA from 1 species
CCUACGGGAGGCAGCCGUGAGGAAUAUUGGUCAAUGGACGAGAGUCUGAACCAGCCAAGUAGCGUGAAGGAUGACUGCCCUAUGGGUUGUAAACUUCUUUUAUCUGUGACUAAAAUGUUCCCCGUGUGGGCUUUUGUAUGUACCAUAUGAAUAAGAAUCGGCUAACUCCGUGCCAGCAGCCGCGGUAAUACGGAGGAUCCGCGCGUUAUCCGGAUUUAUUGGGUUUAAAGGUAUCGUAGGUGGAUUGUUAAGUCAGUUGUGAAAGUUUGCGGCUCAAACGUAAAAUUGCAGUUGAAACUGGCAGUCGUGAGUACAGUAGAGGUGGGCGGGAUGCGUGGUGUAGCGGUGAAA